rnacentral:rRNA from 1 species
GGGGGGUGCGAGCGUUAAUCGGAAUAACUGGGCGUAAAGGGCACGCAGGCGGUGACUUAAGUGAGAUGUGAAAGCCCCGGGCUUAACCUGGGAAUUGCAUUUCAUACUGGGUCGCUAGAGUACUUUAGGGAGGGGUGGAAUUCCACGUGUAGCGGUGAAAUGCGUAGAGAUGUGGAGGAAUACCGAAGGCGAAGGCAGCCCCUUGGGAAUGUACUGACGCUCAUGUGCGAAAGCGUGGGGAGCAAACAGGAUUAGAUACCCUGGUAGUCCACGCUGUAAACGAUGUCGAUUUGGGGGUUUGGGCUUUAAGCUUGGCGCCCCGUAGCUAACGUGAUAAAUCGACCGCCUGGGGAGUACGGCCGCAAGGUUA